AACGUACGCUGGCGGCACGCCUAACACAUGCAAGUCGAACGAAGUAGCAAUACUUAGUGGCAGACGGGUGAGUAACAUGUAGGUAUCUGCCCUUUGGCCUGGAAUAACACGAGGAAACUUGUGCUAAUACCGGAUAAGUCUUUACGGAGAAAGCUUUAUGCACCAUUGGAUGAGCCUGCACUUGAUUAGUUUGUUGGUGGGGUAAUGGCCUACCAAGACUGUGAUCAAUAGCUGAUUUGAGAGGAUGAUCAGCCACAUUGGGACUGAGACACGGCCCAAACUCCUACGGGAGGCAGCAGUGGGGAAUCUUGCACAAUGGAGGAAACUCUGAUGCAGCGAUGCCGCGUGAGUGAAGAAGGCCCUUGGGUUGUAAAGCUCUUUCGUCGGGGAAGAAAAUGACUGUACCCGAAUAAGAAGGUCCGGCUAACUUCGUGCCAGCAGCCGCGGUAAUACGAAGGGACCUAGCGUAGUUCGGAAUUACUGGGCUUAAAGAGUUCGCAGGUGGUUGAAAAAGUUGGUGGUGAAAUCCCAGAGCUUAACUCUGGAACUGCCAUCAAAACUUUUCAGCUAGAGUUUGAUAGAGGAAAGCAGAAUUUCUAGUGUAGAGGUGAAAUUCGUAGAUAUUAGAAAGAAUACCAAUUGCGAAGGCAGCUUUCUGGAUCAUUACUGACACUGAGGAACGAAAGCAUGGGUAGCGAAGAGGAUUAGAUACCCUCGUAGUCCAUGCCGUAAACGAUGUGUGUUAGACGUUGGAAAUUUAUUUUCAGUGUCGCAGCGAAAGCGAUAAACACACCGCCUGGGGAGUACGACCGCAAGGUUAAAACUCAAAUGAAUUGACGGGGACCCGCACAAGUAGUGGAGCAUGUGGUUUAAUUCGAAGAUACGCGCAGAACCUUACCAACACUUGACAUGUUCGUCGCGACUUUAAGAGAUUAAAGUUUUCGGUUCGGCCGGACGAAACACAGGUGCUGCAUGGCUGUCGUCAGCUCGUGUCGUGAGAUGUUGGGUUAAGUCCCGCAACGAGCGCAACCCUCACUUUUAGUUGCCAUCAUUUAGUUGGGCACUCUGAAAGAACUGCCAGUGAUAAGCUGGAGGAAGGUGGGGAUGACGUCAAGUCCUCAUGGCCCUUACGUGUUGGGCUACACACGUGCUACAAUGGUAUCUACAACAGGAAGCAAGACGGCGACGUUAAGCAAAUCCUUAAAAGAUACCUCAGUUCGGAUUGCACUCUGCAACUCGAGUGCAUGAAGCUGGAAUUACUAGUAAUCGUGGAUCAGCGUGCCACGGUGAAUGCGUUCCCGGGUCU
rnacentral:rRNA from 1 species